UGGCUGAAAUGACUUAAAACAGUUGGGACUCUUUUCUAUUCUGACCAAGAAGAUGCAACAGUUGUGAUAGGAAACAAGAGGACAGAACCCCAGACCAUCCCAGCUGAUGAAGAGCCAGGAUGAUGCAAGCUGCAAGACAAGUUGAACCGGAAUAUCCAACUGUCACACCUUCCCCAACCGAUGUACAAAAGUUCCCGAAUUCCUUGGCGAAGGUGGAACCUGGAAUACACAGAGAUGGUAUGUAUUCUGGAGUCACUGAAGACAUGUUUUAGAUGUGAAUUGUGUGAAUACUGGUUGUCUUUUGUCUAGUGUACCACAGUAAGCAAAAACACAUUCAUCAAUUGACAGUUGGGAGUUCGAUUUCAAAAAAAAAGUGAUACCUCAAGUAAGAAACCAUACUCAUGUGUCUACAGUGGCUACAUCUAGCUGUGACCUCUUUAGUUUGGGAUUUUGUGCACCAGGCUAUGUUUAAACUUCUUUUAUCUAGACAGAUGUCCAUGUCACUGAACCCAAUUUUUAGGGAAACUGUUGUGAAAAAAAAAUUAAGGACUUGAGCCACUGUGUCAGCUGGCCAUGAGUCAACCAUGGAGGAUCUAGCACAGGCUCCAUUCUUGUUCUGGAAGACUUUUUUUUAAAAACUUUUUUUAAAUUGUAUUUUGUUUACUCCAUCUAUGUUGAUUGAGUAAACAAAAUAUUUUUUUUUUAGGAGUGGGGGAGGAGAACAUAGGGAAAUGGGAGGGUCAAGCUGGAACAGGGACAGAGUGGGAGGGCAGGGAGGAAGAUACCAUGAUAGAUGAGGACAUCAUGGGAAUAGGAAGAGGCAGAGGGCUGGGGAGGCUCUCAGGAAUCCACAAGGUUGACCCCACCUUGGUCUGCUGGCAGUGGUCCAGAGGGUGCCUGGACCGGUCUACUCUGGUGACCAGCCUAGCAAAUAACCUAGCUGUCAUCAUAGAGCCUUUGUCCAGUGAGAGAUGGAGGCAGAUACAGAGAUCCAUGGCCAGGUACCAGGCUAAGUUCUGGGAAUCCAAUUGAUGAGAGAAAGCAGAGAUACUGCAGGUGAGGGACGUCGAGAUCAUGAUGGGAGGACGUUCAGAGAUGACCGGCCACACUAGUGGAAGCUCAUGAACUGUGGACUGGUGGCUGUGGAGCCUCCAUGGGACUGGUCUAGGCCCUCUGGACAUGGAAGACGGUUGUUUGGCUUGAACUGUUUGGGGGGCACCCAGGCAGAGGGAUCGGGAUCUGUCCCUGGUCUAUGGGCAGGCUUCUGGGAAUCCAGGGCCUGUGGUGUGACACCUUGCACAGCCUUGGUGCAGUGGGAAGGGGCUUGGACCUGCCUAGGCUCAGUGAGCUGGGCUCUGCUGACUCCCCAUGGGAGACCUUGAUUUG